UUGGAGCUCUGUUUGAGUAGAGGCUACAUGACUAAAUCUAACCCACUGCUUCACAAAGUAGGUUCCAUGGAACAUGCAUAUCCUGAGGUGCUCAGAAAACUUCAAAAAAGGUUACGGCCAAACAAAUUUCAGAGAUGCAUAUUUGCUUUUCCAGCUCUGUCUUCUUCGUCUAAUGAGACCACGGUUUCACUAGGGACCACAUGAGGGAAGAGAACAAGUUGACCCUGGCGCACUGGAGGACAUGAAGCAAUCCAGGCAGCAGACAUGUGCGUUACAUCUGGGUUACAUAGGUAAUGAAAAAGGAACUAGGUAAUGAAAGAAUAACAGAUGUUUGUUUCUAAGGUCUUUAUAAGUACUUCUCCUCAACAAGACAAUGAUGAUAGUUAUGACUCAUAGGUUCAUGUGCCAACCUCCCCCAGGAGGGGAGAUUUCUUUAAUGAUGGCACCUAUGUCACAGUUACAUUUGCCGCUGCAACCAGCUUUUUCUUUUCCACAUAGAAACUCAUAGUGAUGCCCUACUUUAUAUGGGAAAAAAAGAGAUGGUCUGUCAGUUUUAUUCCAGAAAUUUUAAAAUGUAUGAUGGAUCAAGAAUUGUCCACUUAUUGCAAACUGAGUUCUACUUUGUGUAGAAAGUACAAUACAUCGAUGUACUGGCCCUAUUAGUUGAAGAAUACAGAUGUUAUUCAUUAUGUAGAUGCUUAUGAAUAAUAUCUAAGCCAAUACUUAUGAGUUCAAUAUUCCUUUCCUUGCCCGCUCAAUUUACUUUCUUUCCAAAGAUAAUGUUAUUAUUUAACACACACUUUUAGUUCACCUGUGAAUUUAUGUAUGUAUGUAUGUAUGCAUGUAUUUCUGUGUAUAUGUGUGCAUUUCCUGUCCCAUUCAAAAUGACUGGAGAGGUUUCGAGAGAGCCCUUUAAGCACAUUCAUUUUUUUCUCAGGAAUAAAUUUAUGAAGACAUUGGAGUGAAGAGAAAAUAACUGUUUAACGAGCUGCAAGUUAGGAAAACAAAUUCUUCUAGAAGUCCUUCUGUUGUACUGCACACAACUGAAUUCUAAAAUUCAUCUUCCUUUAAACUCUAAACAAGAACAAUAUUAAGACUAAAUUGCAGAUAAGCCCUACAAAGUGAAAUCUCAUAUUAGGAUAAUGUAUGGACUUAGAGAAGAAGAGGAAGAGCAAAGUAUUUUCUUAAACUGAAUUAGCUAGUAAUGAAAACAACCUUAAAUAUUACUACUACUGUUUCUACUUCUUCUACCACUACUAACAGUAUUAGCAGUGAUCAUUUACUGUGUGCCAGGCAUGAAACUCAAUCCCUACAUGUAUUAUCACACAUAAAUAUCACAACAGUCCCCUUAGCCUCAUCGUACAUAUGGAAAAAUGACACAAAGUAUAUGAGGUCAAAUGCUAUAGCAUAAAUAGGCUCAUUCUGCUACCCCUACAGUUCUAAAAUUAUUUCACAAUUCUAGCAAAGACAUAUUAGAGUUAGUAGGACAGUGUUUCCUUGGGGACUUGGACUGUAAUUUUUUUUAGUAUUUCUCCUAGUCCUUUGCAUAAUCAGACCCUUAAGAAAUGUUUAUUUAUUUCACUGAUUUUUAGCAGUCUUUGAAACCACUCACUUUUUUAAAAAGUAGGCAUAGAAAAUCUUGUAUUUCCUGUGUGCUUAGUUUAAUCAAAAUCCAAGCAACGUUUGAAUAUCUACCACGUAUCAGGUACGGUGCUGGCCAUGGAAGGGCAGAUGAAGAUGCCUAAGGCACGGUCCUUCCCAUCAAGAAGAUCAUAGUUACAAUAAGUCAAUCUAAUCUUCUAUUCAAAGCAUUGUUAAUUCAUCAGCAUCAUCAACACUACCUGGGAGUUUGCUAUACAUGCAGAAUCUCACACUCCAUGACAGAGUUCCUGAAACUACAUUUUAACAAGAUCCCUACGUGUUUCAUGUGCACAUUGAAAAGUUGGAGAAGCACUCUUCUAGCGCACUCAUGAGGCAUAAAGUAGCUUAAACUAAUUAACAAAAUUAACUAAUCUUUACCUCUAUUUGGCAGUGAAGCCAAGUGUAACCCCAAAAGGAGAAUUAGGCCCAGAGAUUUUGCAGCACAUGGUGGUCACAGCAGCCUGAAGAACCAGAGAGGGAAAAGCAGCAGGAAGCAAAAGGGAUAGAGAAGCAGAGAUGUGUCAUAUUUAGAAGUCUGGCAAUUAGCUCCUGUCACAUUUAGAAGCCUGUGAUUCGCAACCUGAACAUGCUCGUUACAGAAAAGGAGAGAGAGAAAGCAAAUAAAGUGAGAGAGGACACAAGCGAUCUGCAGACCGGUGGAACAAAACAAGAAGGGGAGUGCUGGGCUGUGACAGGUGUGGAUGGCAGAAACUCAAGUCUGAGCAGUCUGUCCCCUUAACAACUUGAUGAUACUGUUGAAAUUGGUCCAGUGGACAGUGAUUGUCAACUGCGCUCCAGGUCAUGGAUUUAAGUGGUAGUAGCGGGAAUGGAAAGAAAUGUCGAAUGUGAGAUGUGCUGCGAAGGAAGAUCAAAAAGAAGGGGAGAUUGUAUUUGACGUGAAGAAUGGAGGAGGGGAAUGGAGUCAAGAUUCCAUCUUGCAUGUGAAGAAGAGGAUCCAGGGACUUAAGAGAAGUCAUGAGGGGUGUAAGUCAAAGCACCAGUUGGAAUUUUUCUCGGAGAGAUACGGCAGUAGUCAGAAAAGCUGAGGCUGGUGCUAGGAGAGCUAAAGCUAACAUAAGCUAAGAGAAUGAGGUAAGGGUAGUAGAAUGAGUUGUAUAAUCAGUAGCUAUAAAAGGUCAUAUAAACUGAGUAUGUUUACAGUAAGAAGUUCAAGAAGCUAACAAGUCUUUGAACAGGGUUUUGAAUCAUGAUAUGCCUUUGAGGACAUGCCUGGAAGUUUUCCAACCCUUUGAUUCUAUGAUUCUAAGACUUUGUGGAGAAGCAUACUCUCAAUUUUUUUUUAUUUGGAGUUCUGAAUAAAUGGAAAAUGCGAGUCGAAGGCUGCUAUUUCUAUUCACGUAUUUGUGUGUGUGUGUGUGCGUACACACCCGUGUGCAAUAACAUACCACCCACCUGAGAAAAUCCUUGAAGAGAUCCUGACAACAUCUCUCUUCCAUAGAUUUACUGCAAUUUUCUCUAAUCCUCAGAUGAUAGGUAAAUAGGCUCCCU